AAUCAACGCUGGUGGCAUGCCUUACACAUGCAAGUCGAACGGCAGCACGGGGGCAACCCUGGUGGCGAGUGGCGAACGGGUGAGUAAUACAUCGGAACGUGCCCAGUAGUGGGGGAUAGCUCGGCGAAAGCCGGAUUAAUACCGCAUACGACCUACGGGUGAAAGCGGGGGAUCGCAAGACCUCGCGCUAUUGGAGCGGCCGAUGUCAGAUUAGGUUGUUGGUGGGGUAAAGGCCUACCAAGCCGACGAUCUGUAGCUGGUCUGAGAGGACGACCAGCCACACUGGGACUGAGACACGGCCCAGACUCCUACGGGAGGCAGCAGUGGGGAAUUUUGGACAAUGGGCGCAAGCCUGAUCCAGCCAUGCCGCGUGCGGGAAGAAGGCCUGGUGUAACG
rnacentral:rRNA from 1 species